AGAGUUUGAUCAUGGCUCAGAUUGAACGCUGGCGGAAUGCUUUACACAUGCAAGUCGAACGAUGAACCUUAGCUUGCUAAGGGGAUUAGUGGCGAACGGGUGAGUAAUAUAUCGGAACGUGCCUUGUAAUGGGGGAUAACUAGUCGAAAGAUUAGCUAAUACCGCAUACGCCCUGAGGGGGAAAGUAGGGGAUCUUCGGACCUUACGUUAUAAGAGCGGCCGAUAUCUGAUUAGCUAGUUGGUGGGGUAAUGGCCUACCAAGGCUUCGAUCAGUAGCUGGUCUGAGAGGACGACCAGCCACACUGGAACUGAGACACGGUCCAGACUCCUACGGGAGGCAGCAGUGGGGAAUUUUGGACAAUGGGCGCAAGCCUGAUCCAGCCAUUCCGCGUGAGUGAAGAAGGCCUUCGGGUUGUAAAGCUCUUUCGCAAGGGAAGAAAACUUACCUUCUAAUAAAGGGUGAGGCUGACGGUACCUUGAUAAGAAGCACCGGCUAACUACGUGCCAGCAGCCGCGGUAAUACGUAGGGUGCGAGCGUUAAUCGGAAUUACUGGGCGUAAAGCGUGCGCAGGCGGUUUGGCAAGUCAGAUGUGAAAUCCCCGAGCUCAACUUGGGAACUGCGUUUGAAACUGCCAGACUAGAAUAUGUCAGAGGGGGGUAGAAUUCCACGUGUAGCAGUGAAAUGCGUAGAGAUGUGGAGGAA
rnacentral:rRNA from 1 species